rnacentral:rRNA from 1 species
GACGAACGCUGGCGGCGUGCUUAACACAUGCAAGUCGAACGGGUCUGCCCUGUUUUUUGCGGGGUGGGUCAGUGGCGAACGGGUGAGUAACACGUGAGUAACCUGCCCCUCACUUCUGGAUAACCGCUUGAAAGGGUGGCUAAUACGGGGUGUUCUGGCUGUGCCGCAUGGUGUGGCUGGGAAAGAUUCACUUUUGUGGUGUUUUGGUGGGGGAUGGGCUCGCGGCCUAUCAGCUUGUUGGUGGGGUGAUGGCCUGCCAAGGCUUUGACGGGUAGCCGGCCUGAGAGGGUGGGCGGUCACACUGGGACUGAGAUACGGCCCAGACUCCUGCGGGAGGCAGCAGUGGGGGGUAUUGCACAAUGGGCGGAAGCCUGAUGCAGCGACGUCGCGUGAGGGAUGGAGGCCGUCGGGUUGUGAACCUCUUUCGCCGGUGAAGAAGGUCCUGCUCUUUGUGGUGGGGUUGACGGUAGCCGGGUUAUGAAGCGCCGGCUAACUACGU